rnacentral:rRNA from 1 species
AGCGUUGUCCGGAUUUAUUGGGCGUAAAGGGCUCGUAGGUGGUUGAUCGCGUCGGAAGUGUAAUCUUGGGGCUUAACCCUGAGCGUGCUUUCGAUACGGGUUGACUUGAGGAAGGUAGGGGAGAAUGGAAUUCCUGGUGGAGCGGUGGAAUGCGCAGAUAUCAGGAGGAACACCAGUGGCGAAGGCGGUUCUCUGGGCCUUUCCUGACGCUGAGGAGCGAAAGCGUGGGGAGCGAACAGGCUUAGAUACCCUGGUAGUCCACGCUGUAAACGGUGGGUACUAGGUGUGGGGUCCAUUCCACGGGUUCCGCGCCGUAGCUAACGCUUUAAGUACCCCGCCUGGGGAGUACGGCCGCAAGGCUAAAACUCAAAGGAAUUGACGGGGCCCCGCACAAGCGGCGGAGCAUGCGGAUUAAUUCGAUGCAACGCGUAGAACCUUACCUGGGUUUGACAUGGAUCGGGAGUGCUCAGAGAUGGGUGUGCCUCUUUUGGGGUCGGUUCACAGGUGGUGCAUGGCUGUCGUCAGCUCGUGUCGUGAGAUGUUGGGUUAAGUCCCGCAACGAGCGCAACCCUUGUUCACUGUUGCCAGCACGUUAUGGUGGGGACUCAGUGGAGACCGCCGGGGUCAACUCGGAGGAAGGUGGGGAUGACGUCAAGUCAUCAUGCCCCUUAUGUCCAGGGCUUCACGCAUGCUACAAUGGCUGGUACAGAGAGUGGCGAGCCUGUGAGGGUGAGCGAAUCUCGGAAAGCCGGUCUCAGUUCGGAUUGGGGUCUGCAACUCGACCUCAUGAAGUCGGAGUCGCUAGUAAUCGCAGAUCAGCAACGCUGCGGUGAAUACGUUCCCGGGGCUUGCACACACCGCCCGU